rnacentral:rRNA from 1 species
UCGGAAUCACUGGGCGUAAAGCGCACGUAGGCGGCUUUCUAAGUCAGGGGUGAAAUCCUGGAGCUCAACUCCAGAACUGCCUUUGAUACUGGAGAGCUUGAGUCCGGAAGAGGUGAGUGGAACUCCGAGUGUAGAGGUGAAAUUCGUAGAUAUUCGGAAGAACACCAGUGGCGAAGGCGGCUCACUGGUCCGGUACUGACGCUGAGGUGCGAAAGCGUGGGGAGCAAACAGG